rnacentral:rRNA from 1 species
AGUGAACGCUGGCGGCGUGCUUAACACAUGCAAGUCGAGCGAAGUUUGCAGCACAUCGCAAGCUUAGCGGCAGACGGGUGAGUAAUAUUUGGGCAAUCUGCCCUUGAGUGGGGGACAACCUGCCGAAAGGCGGGCUAAUACCCCAUAAGACCACAGGGAUGCAUAUCCAAGGGGUCAAAGCUCCGCAAGGGGCGCUUGAGGAGGAGCCCGAAUCCUACAUGGUAGUUGGCGGGGUAAUGGCCCACCAAGCCGUUGACGGGUAGCCGGCCUGAAAGGGCAAACGGCCACACUGGCACUGAGACACGGGCCAGACUCCUACGGGAGGCA